rnacentral:lncRNA from 1 species
UCCCCUCAUUUAAUCUUAAACAAUCCAACGUAUAUAGCCUUAGGUGCUCGUUAGAACCACCUGGCAGCAUGAACAUGUUAUUGUGCAUCAGUAACAUAUAGGCUUAACUAUAAAUCUUCUGAAAUAUUUUUCACUAAUGACAUGAACCAAAGGUAGACAGAAAAGAUAAAUGCAGUCAUUUCAAACUUUCUCCGGAGCCCC